UACGUAGGGCGCAAGCGUGUCCGGAAUUAUUGGGCGUAAAGAGCUCGUAGGCGGUUUGUCGCGUCUGCUGUGAAAACCUAAGGCUCAACCUUGGGCUUGCAGUGGGUACGGGCAGACUAGAGUGCGGUAGGGGUGACUGGAAUUCCUGGUGUAGCGGUGGAAUGCGCAGAUAUCAGGAGGAACACCGGUGGCGAAGGCGGGUCUCUGGGCGAGUAACUG
rnacentral:rRNA from 1 species